UACGGGGGGGGCAAGCGUUGUUCGGAAUUACUGGGCGUAAAGGGCUCGUAGGUGGCCAACUAAGUCAGACGUGAAAUCCCCAGGCUCAACUUGGGAACUGCGUCUGAUACUGGAUGGCUUGAAUCCGGGAGAGGGAUGCAGAAUUCCAGGUGUAGCGGUGAAAUGCGUAGAUAUCUGGAGGAAUACCGGUGGCGAAGGCGGCAUCCUGGACCGGCAUUGACGCUGAGGGAGCGAAAGCCAGGGGAGCAAACGGG
rnacentral:rRNA from 1 species